GACGAACGCUGGCGGCGUGCCUAAUACAUGCAAGUUGAGCGCUGAAGGUUGGUACUUGUACCGACUGGAUGAGCAGCGAACGGGUGAGUAACGCGUGGGGAAUCUGCCUUUGAGCGGGGGACAACAUUUGGAAACGAAUGCUAAUACCGCAUAAAAGCUUUAAACACAAGUUUUAAGUUUGAAAGAUGCAAUUGCAUCACUCAAAGAUGAUCCCGCGUUGUAUUAGCUAGUUGGUGAGGUAAAGGCUCACCAAGGCGAUGAUACAUAGCCGACCUGAGAGGGUGAUCGGCCACAUUGGGACUGAGACACGGCCCAAACUCCUACGGGAGGCAGCAGUAGGGAAUCUUCGGCAAUGGACGAAAGUCUGACCGAGCAACGCCGCGUGAGUGAAGAAGGUUUUCGGAUCGUAAAACUCUGUUGGUAGAGAAGAACGUUGGUGAGAGUGGAAAGCUCAUCAAGUGACGGUAACUACCCAGAAAGGGACGGCUAACUACGUG
rnacentral:rRNA from 1 species